rnacentral:sRNA from 1 species
GGUGGGCAUAGUGGUGCAUGCCUGAAUUCCCAGUGACUUGGGAGGCUGAGGCAGGAGGAUCACUAGCUUCAGAAACUUAGCAAGGCCCUAAGAGACUUAGUGAGGCCCUGUCUCAA